CUAGCUGGCUCCUGGCAAGCGGCGCCGCGCUAGUGGCGGCGGCCGGGCAGAGCGCGCAACUCUCGGCAACCCAGCAGCCUCGGCUCCCCCCAGAGCCUCCGCCUCCUCCUCCGCCGCCGCCGCCUGACCAUUUGUGUCAAUCCCUCAACUCGCCCGCUCUCCUCUCCCUCGCUCGCCCUCCGACCGGUUUCCAGGCGCCCCGCAGUCUGUCUUUCACCAGGAGGGAGGAGCCUUGAAACCGACGCGGAACUGGAGGCUCAGGGACCGUCGCCCAAUCGCUGCACUGGCUUCCCGGCGCAAAGGGCGCCCGCCGCCUGCUUCCCAGAGCGAAAGUCGGCGGCGGGCGGGAGAAGGAGGAGGCGGGAGGGGGAGCGGUGGCCGAGGCACUGCUCGGGCACAAAGAGUGGGUUUGCUAUGAAGCGGGACAGGCUUGGUUGCUUUUGCUUUUGCCGAAGAAAGGGCGAGGACAAGUAGGAGAAUGGUCCCAUAUGCUGCUGGAGAUAAUGAAUAGGAGUCGGCAGACCGCGCGAUUUAGCUUUUCUUUUCUUUUAUCCAUUUUCGUGUUUAAAAAUCCUGCUCCGAACGCUGGUUACAAACAGCAGACCGAGCGCUUCGAUGAGAACAGAUUCCUCUGACUUAAGGAACGAACGGCUUCCUUCGAGAGUGCUCCUCAAAGUGUGAUCUCCUAACUAGCAGCAGCCCUUGGGAACUUGUUAAAAAUUCAAAUUCUCUUGCCCCACCCAGGCCUUCCCGAGUCUGACAUCCAGGUCUGCACAAUUGAAUUGAUCAUCUAAUUCCUGAGAAUGGAUCAGACCACCAACCUGCCAAGAGUCAAGAUGACUGAACAUAAAGCCCUCAUUCAUAAAUCAUUUGUUAAUAAAUCAGGAAGCAAGAAACUCAACUGGAAGUAAAAUUAUUCAUUCUCAUAUAAUGCAUAGGAUGGAUCUUAAAAGAUAAUUCCAUCUGGAUAACAUUCCCACUGAAAAAAAAGUUCAAUUCAUCAAUAUUCACAAAUAAUCUUAAGAGCCCCAGAGUUUUUCAGAGGUUUGCAGUGAUUCAACUGGUGGCUUCAGGAUGACCGUGGAAGAUGGAACCUGGGGCACAAUGUCAUUGAGAAGCUUAAACAUUAGUCUAGACAGUACUUCCCUGGUCGUCCAGUGGUAAAGAAUCGGCCUUGCAACUCUGGUUUGAUCCCUGAUCAGGGAUUAGAUCCCGCAUUAGGCAGAGCAGCUAAGCCCCCUUGCCAUAACUCAAGUCCAUUUGCCUCACAGGAUGAUCCUUCAUAAUGCAGCUAAGAUCCGACAUAGCCAAAUAAUAAAUAAAUAAAUGAAUAUUUAAAGAAACAAAAAACCUUUAGUCUAGAUGUAAAGGGUGGCUCAGUGGUAAAGAACCAGCCAGCCAAUGCAGGAGACACAAGAGACGCGGGUUCAAUCCCUGGGUCGGGAAGAUCCCAUGGAGUAAGAAAUGGCAACUCACUCCAGUAUUCUUGCCUGGGAAAUCCCAUGGACAGAGGAGGGCCAGGCUACAAUCCAGGGGGGUCACAAAGAGUCAGACAUGACUUAGCAACUAAACAACGAAAGGACAGGACUUAAGUUGGAGGAAAAUUGCUUUGCGAUGUUUGUUGGUUUCCGCCGCACAGCAGUGUGAAUCAGCUGGCUUUCCAGAUGGCACUAGUGGUAAAGAACCUGCCUGCCACUGCAGGAGACAGAAGAGACGUGAGCUUGAUCCCUGGAUAUGAAAGAUCCCCUGGAGGAGGGCAUGAUAACACACUCCAGCAUCCUUGCCUGGAGAAUCCCAUGGGCAGAGGAGCCUGGCGGGCUACAAUCCAUAGGGUUGCAGAGUUAGACACAACUGAGCGACUUAGCAUGCAUGUUCUUUUAAGCAGCUAUCCUUCUUUGCAUUUCUU